rnacentral:lncRNA from 1 species
ACACGAUGGACAAAAUGUGUGGAAGAAUAAUAAAAAUAACUAGAUUUGUAAUUGCUAGCAAUAACGGAUGGCACCCUCGUCCCCCAUUGCCAGGCGAGCGGCAGCCAUUUUGAAAUUCCAAAGUCAAAGAGUGCAUCUACACAUGCAAGUUAUCAUUUUUGCAAAAUUUCAUUAAGUUUGGAGCAUUUUGAAAUUUUGGACAAUUUUGCUGUUUCCAUGGUUACGGCGGCCAUUUUGGAAAUUCCAACUUCAAAAUGCAACUCCGCACAUGUCAGUCACUAUUCCUGUAAAGU